rnacentral:rRNA from 1 species
CCUACGGGAGGCUGCCGUGAGGAAUAUUGGUCAAUGGACGAGAGUCUGAACCAGCCAAGUAGCGUGAAGGAUGACUGCCCUAUGGGUUGUAAACUUCUUUUAUAUGGGAAUAAAAUGUUCCACGUGUGGGAUUUUGUAUGUACCAUAUGAAUAAGGAUCGGCUAACUCCGUGCCAGCAGCCGCGGUAAUACGGGGGAUCCGAGCGUUAUCCGGAUUUAUUGGGUUUAAAGGGAGCGUAGGUGGAUUGUUAAGUCAGUUGUGAAAGUUUGCGGCUCAACCGUAAAAUUGCAGUUGAAACUGGCAGUCUUGAGUACAGUAGAGGUGGGCGGAAUUCGUGGUGUAGCGGUGAAAUGCUUAGAUAUCACGAAGAACUCCGAUUGCGAAGGCAGUUCACUGGACUGCAACUGACACUGAGGCUCGAAAGUGUGGGUAUCAAACAGGAUUAGAUACCCGAGUAGUC